AUUGAACGCUGGCGGCAUGCCUUACACAUGCAAGUCGAACGGCAGCACGGGUGCUUGCACCUGGUGGCGAGUGGCGCACGGGUGAGUAAUACAUCGGAACAUGUGCUGUAGUGGGGGAUCGCCCGGCGAAAGCCGGAUUAAUACCGCAUACGAUCCACGGAUGAAAGCGGGGGACCUUCGGGCCUCGCGCUAUAGGGUUGGCCGAUGGCUGAUUAGCUAGUUGGUGGGGUAAAGGCCUACCAAGGCGACGAUCAGUAGCUGGUCUGAGAGGACGACCAGCCACACUGGGACUGAGACACGGCCCAGACUCCUACGGGAGGCAGCAGUGGGGAAUUUUGGACAAUGGGCGAAAGCCUGAUCCAGCAAUGCCGCGUGUGUGAAGAAGGCCUUCGGGUUGUAAAGCACUUUUGUCCGGAAAGAAAGCCUUGACUCUAAUACAGUCGGGGGAUGACGGUACCGGAAGAAUAAGCACCGGCUAACUACGUG
rnacentral:rRNA from 1 species